rnacentral:tRNA from 1 species
GGCGGCGUAGCCAAGAGGUAAGGCCAGGGUCUGCAAAACCCUCAUACGCCGGUUCGAGUCCGGCCGCCGCCU